rnacentral:lncRNA from 1 species
CGCAUGUCAAACAUGAAAUAUAAUUUUUUUUUUGUAUUUUAAAUGUUAAAUAAAUUUUUAGUUUAAUUUUUUCUCUGAAAAGGAAUAUUAGUCUUAAAAUCUCAGCAUAUUAGCAAUCCAAAGAGGACCCCUACGAACUGCAAGAGUCAGAACCUAAUAGUCAAGAGACAUAACAUGUUCAGCUGAACAAUCAUACUAUCAAUUAACCACAAACUAAAAGCAAAUUAACUUGUCUAUUGAUCCCGGCCUUGGCUAAACGAUCAGUAAUCCUAUUGGGGAUUUCGCUAAUAUCCCAACUUUGACCUCUGCAUAUACCAGAACAGAGUUGUAAGAUACUCUGUUAGUAAGUACAGGAAAAUAGAAAAGAAAUACAAAAUGAGGAAUUACUGAAUAUUCUAUUAUUGAUUGCUUUAUUGAAUCUGUACAGAAACAAGAUUUAUAUAUAUAAGUGUCAACUGCCGCUAACCAAUUCUACUAGCAAUAUAUCAGAUUGUAUAACUGACUGCUAACAACCUAACUUACCUUAUACACUAACAUUCACCCAACUUCUCAAUAGGUAAAACCCGAAGCAAAUUUCGAAGCCGAGUAAACAAAGAGACAGACAGGGGUUUUGUUAAAAUGUUAGCGACCUGGUCACAGGCAUGUACCUCUUCGACAACAAGUGAACCUGGAGCGACCUUUUCACGGACAAAAAACAGAUCAAGUUUAACAUGUUUGAACUUGGAGUGUAAGACCGGAUUUGCAGCAAUUGCUACUACACCAGAAUUAUCACACCAAAUAGUAGAAAAUCGGCAGACGAUAUUUGUAGCUCCUUUAGGAGAGAGAUUAACCACGUAACAUCACUAGUAGCCGCAGCUAGAUUGCAAUACUCAGCCUCUGCUGUUGACCGAGAAACAACUUGUUGCUUUUUAAAACACCACGAAACAGGCGUAUCUCCAAAAUUCACACAAUAUACGGCCAUAGAUCUGCGAUCAUCAAAAUCCAAUCCCCAGUUGGCAUCAGCAUAACCAAUGAGAAAUAGUCAGUCGGAUGGACGAAAAAUCAACCCAUGAUCUAUGGUCCCACGUAAAUAUCGUAAGAUUCGUUUUAGGGCCACCAAAUGUACUGAGUGGGUACAUGCAUGAACUGACACACACAAUGUACUGUAUAAGCAAGAUCAGGUCGGGUUAGAACUACAUAUUGAAGCACACUGGCAAGACUUCGACAUGUAAGAUCAGCUAGACGAUUGCCCUCAUAUUUAGACAAGGCUGAUGAACUCAUCAUUGGUGCAGUUUUUGCAUUAGUCAAAGAACUUCUAUCAAGCAGAUCCCUAAUGUACUUAUGCUAGCAUAAUUGAAGACUUCCAGUGGAGGAUCGAGUGACUUUAACACCUAAGAAGUAAUGAAGGUCCCCCAUAUCCUUAAGGGAAAAUUAUUUACCUAACAGUUGAAUAAAACUAGUUAUACUGUCAGCCACACUCCUCGUAAUAAUAAUAUCAUCUACAUAGACCAGAACAUAAAUUACAGACUUGGUCAUUACACGAAUAAAUAAAUAUGCAUCAGAUUUGGAUAUGAGAAACCCAGUAGAAAUAAGAAACCUCUUCAAUUUAUCAAACUAGGCACGAGGAGCUUAACGCAACCCGUAUAGUGCCUUUGUUAGAUGACACACCAAUUGAUCACCAUUUGGACCAAACUGAACAUAGCUUGGAGGCUGUUGCAUGAACACUUCCUUGGUGAGAUCACCAUUUAAGAAGGCAUUGUUGACAUCGACCUGACGAAUCUACCAACCUCGAGAGACAACAUCUGAGAGUAUGGUUCGAAUAGUAUCAGGCUUGACCACUAGACUAAACGUUUCCUUGAAAUCACUUCCAGGAACUUGAGAACACCCUUUUACUACCAACCUAGCCUUAUGCCGAGCAAUAGUCCCAUCAGGAUUUUUUUUUUUACUUUGAACAGCAAUGUACACCCUAUUACCUUACGUCAAUGAGGAAGAGGAACAAGUUCCCAAGUAGAGUUGGCCAUGAUGGCAUCAAAUUCAGCUUGAACUACUAGUUUUCAUCCUGGAUCAACAAGAGCUUCCUCAAUGGUGCUUGGCUCAUAAUUAACAACUUCAACAGACAGAGCCUUGGGAUUAAAAAUCCCAGCAGUGGACUGAGUAAUCAUAGUAUGAGUAUUCCCCAACAGAGCAGACGUUGAAGUUGAAGGAACUAAGUCUGGAGCAGACGGACUAUUCUCAUUUGUAGAGGUUAAGAGCCGGAACUCUUCAUGAGUAGCCCCUAGCUCAGCCAACGAAUAUUCUGUUGUAAAUGGCAAAGGAUUACAAUGAGAAGUAGAUGAGGAAAUACUAGUGGGACUCUCGACUGUGGAAAAAUGAUGAGAGGUAGUAGAACGAAAAAGAAGAACAUAUGUGGAGACACACGGACUAGGGUUCACAUUAUCCACGGUAGAUGAAGGAAACAAUAAGUAUCGUUCAUAAAAAAUAAAAUGACGAGAAACAAUUACUUUACCAUCUAGUGUGAGACAAUGAUAACCUUUAUGUUAGGAACUAUACCCGAAGAAUAUGUAUGGCUGAGAAUAGAACCCCAACUUGUGGCUCACGAAUGGUCACAGAUACAGAAAACAACAAUAGCCAAAUACUCGCAAGUGAUCAUAGGUAGGCUCACGACCAUAAAGAACCUGAUAAGGAGACUGACCUUUCAGAAUAGGAGUAGGUAAACGAUUUAUGAGAUGAACAGCACUACAAAAGGCAUAACCCAAGUAGUCCACAGGCAGACUGGCAUGGGUUAAGAGAGUAAGACCGAUACCAACAAUGUGUCUAUGUUUUAGCUCAGCAACUCCGUUCUGCUUAGAUGUAUUUGGGUAGGAUAAAAGAUGUAGAAUCUCAAGAUUAGCCAGAACAGAUGUGAAUGCACAAUAUUCACCUCCCUAAUCACUUUGAAAGCUCUUAAUAUCUUUUCAAAACUGAGUCUUGACCAUCUUUUGAAACUAAAGAAAAUAGUCGACUGUCUAAGACUUACACUGAAUUAGAUACACCCAUGUAAAACGACUGUACAUGUCAAUAAACGAAAGAUAAUUAAAUUAGAACCACAUACAACCGAUGUCAGUUCCCAUAAGUCGAAGGCAACCAAAUAAAAAAUAUCUUUAUAUUCAAUAGAAGAGUUUGAAAAAGGUAGUUUAUGAUAUUUUCCCUUUUGACAUACAAUAUAAAUAUUAUCAAGACACAAUUUAUUUGAGAAAACUUUGCACGAAUCAAGAAUAAUUUUAACAAUCGAGGCAGACAGAUGACCAAGUUUUUGGUGCCAUAAGGCGAAAGCAUCAUCACCAUCAUUAUAAGCUUGUAAUCUAGUGUUGUGGAUAAAUGGGAUAGCAACAAAAGGGUCAGGCAAGACUGGGGAAAAAUAAUAGAGCCCGUCACGAGUGUGGCCCCGUAAAAUUUCCCGAUUUAGGAUGUCCUUAAAAACACAAUAAGAUGGAUGAAAUUCAAAGAAUAUGUUAUUAUCACUUGUAAACUGAGAAACAGAUAACAGGUUCUUCCAUAUAUUUAGAAUGCACAGAAUAUUAGACAGAUGAAGGAUCUUACUCUUCGUAGGUAAAAUAGAAUUCCCAAUACAUGAUAUUUUUUUAGAAGUCUUAUUGCCUAUGAAAAGAGGAGAUGUACCUGAGUAUGGCGUGGACUUAUGCAAAGCAGUGGCUUCUCCGCAUACAUGAUGCGUAGCCCCUGAAUUAGGACUCCAAAAGAAAGUCCCUACAGGCAUAGGAAUAUAAGAAUUUUCAUUAUCAAAAUUAGACUCAUAUUGAGUCAUACUGACAUUGGACCCAAAGGUGGUCAAAAAAUCGGAGGCAUGAAAGUCUGAAAAAUGAGGUAACCCAACUCAUGGCGAGGCAUGAACAUCAUGAACACGGGCCCUCAGUUUGGUUCGUCACGAUACACCGGUCCCAGUAUUUUGAAAGGAGAAAUUUCUAUUUGUCUGAAGCCCAACAAAGUUAGCAGUGGGCCCAACAUUUUGGCCCACAUUAAGGGCUGAAGGUACCGACCUAUUAUAUGGCCCAAACUCACGGACUUGAGCAAUUGGCCUAUUAGGAGGCAUAUUAGGACCAAUAUUUAGCCCAUAUUAGAGGCUCAAAUCACAGGGCAAAUCACAUUGAAAUUGGGUGCCCAAAUCACGUUGCAAGAGGGCACCAUAUUGGAGGGUAGCAUGAUUAUUUUGCGGGCCUAUACCAUCACCAAAAGUCCCAUCCAUUUGAUUGGCCUCACCUUGAGGAUUAAAAAAAGGUUUUGUAACCCUAGCAGCUGAUGGAUUUGAGAAAUAAAAUUUAUGGGGCUGCCCUCUCCACCCAGCUUCAUAGGAAGACUCUAUCGAGGUUGCCAUUGUAGUUCUAAGGUAUUGCCCAGAGUCAGUGAAAACAAUUGAACCACUACGCACCGACGGGUACCAGCCAGACUCACCAACACCACUAUCGCCUGAUCAUUGACUCGUGCGACCAGAAAACACUAAUGCCAUGGCCGGAGCUAGAGUAGAAGGACCACUGUAGUCACGAUCAAAUCGAUAGUAACACCUUUACGCCAAAUUUCCAUAGUGGCUGCAUAUUUGUCACUGAAGCCGAGUGCGAAACCCAUGUCUACUAGCUGAAGAAGAAGAAUGACCACCACGUACUGAGUCCGUCACUGGUGCCGUAGGAACGGCUGCCACCAGAUUCUUGUGAAAUGACGCUUCAUAUACUGCAUGAACUUGUCGAUUCUCAAACUCUAGGAUCACAUCAAUGAGCUUUUGAAGAGGAAACGGUUCAUUAGAGAAUGAGGCUAAUGUGAGACCGACAUCAUAGUCUGACGAAAGGCCAACAAGGAUGAUCUCUACCUUCUCUGCCUUUGGUACCGCAAAUCCAAACGCCUUGAGCAAAGCACAAGUGUUUUGUAUUUUCAACAACAUAUUACUUCAUUGACAUCAUCCCUUUCUUGAUUUAGUAGAGGUCGUAGUUUAUGCGGGAUAACUUUAUUCCAGUGGCAGUGACGAAUAGGUGAUUCGCAAUACUCCACACCUCACACAUUAAUUUCGCAGCUGUAAAAAAGGACAAUAGAGAAAAACUAAUAGUUGAUAAUAACGAAGAGGCAAGAAGCUUAUCUUGCUGAACAUACAACGAGGCAUCGAGAUUCAGAGUCAAAACCUAUCUAGAGAGGAGAUAAAACUGGGUGGCACAGGUAAAGUCCCUUCGAGAAAUUCGAGCAACUCUUAACUUUCUAUUAUGAGCUGUAUAUGCUGUAGCCAUUGCAUAAAAUUUUUAUUGUCUAACUUUACUGUAUUAUGACAAGGGAACAUCUGAAUCAAGUGCGAUCCAGAGAAGGAGGGAUUGCCACAAUCAGCAGCGGUAGAAUCAGCGAAAUUAGCCAUGAGUUAGCAGUAAGAAGGAGCACUAAGAGCUUAUGCGACUGAUACCAUGUUAGUAAGUAUAGGAAAAUAGAAAAGAAAAAAAAAUGAGGAAUUACUGAAUAUUCUAUUAUUGAUUGCUUGAUUGAAUCUGUAUAGAAACAAGACUUAUAUACUCCAUACACAGCUUAGGGCAUUCCAUAAUGAUUUAAACCAGGAAACCACAACAACACAAUCACUUUCCACUAACAACUUAUGCGUGCUUGACCAUCUAUAAACCGAGUAUAUGGUGACGGCUACCUUUAUAGCCAAAACCUCAGCCAAAGUUGGAUAAAAAGACCUACAGAUUUAUAAAAAAUGACUAAUGAGGCUCCCUUAUGAUCACGAAGUAUCUCAUUAAUCCUCGCUGUACCAUUAUUACCUGCAACAACUGCACCUACAUUGAAUUUAAUAGAACUAAAUGGAUGAGGCAUCUAGAUUACCCUCUUAGUGUUGUUCUUAUGUGUAUUCGUCAGACGAAAGUUUUGAGGGGUAAGAAAAUGUUAUGAAAGAAGAAAGUAAUGGUGAUUGAGGCAAUAGCAAGUUGCUGCAAAUGUUUAAAAUUCUAUUAUUUUAACUAGUUUAACUGUUAUGUAAAAACAUUGUGUUUUAUCUUUGUUUUAAUUUUAAUAAUACAAGAUCAUUUUGGAAGGGCCAUUUUAAACAUUAAAACACGGUGUUUUGAUGUUAUUAGUCGUUUAAUUAAAUGGUUCUUUUUGGGACACCUGGACUAUUAGUUUUCAGGUGGUUUUGAGGCCGUUACUCAUACUAAAAGCAGAAAUAAAGGCUAAAAUGAGUGUUAUGAAAUUGGAAAACAAAUUUUUCUUCUUUCCUUCUCCUUUCUCUCUGUGUUUUUCUUCUCUCAUUUCUCUUCUCUCCUAGAUUUUUUUAACCCUCGCAACAAAGGUAUCAGAGCCUCUCGAUACUCAUGGCCAACGAUGAGGUAACUCUAGGUUUAAAAAGGAAAUAAGCAUGUUACAACAAGAACUAUCUUAGUUGCAUGUGGAGAUCGACUCCAAGAUUAACUCGCGUAUUAAGGAUUUCCAUGAGACUAUCAAAGGUGAGAUUUAUACUGAACUUUAUUAUCUAUUCGAACAGUAUUUUGGUCAAAACUCUUCUUCAACACUUGUCGGAACAAGUCUAGACAAGGGUAAGGGUAUCUUGGGGAGUCCUCCAUCUAGAAUUCCUUCAAGGGAGCAUCUCACUGUGUCACCUCUGCCAAAUCUAUAGAACAUGGGGACACCAACUAGUGUUAUCUUCAUGGACACGAUUAGCAAAAAUAACAAGCUAGAAUGUCUUCGUUUUGAUGAGACGGACUUUAGGGGUUGGUGUGCAAAGUUGGACCAAUUUUUUAAAGCUAGAAGAGAGAGUGAGCAAGCCAAAGCCAAAGUGGUCAUGCUGUAUUUGGAUGGUAAGGCAUUGGAUUGGCACCACUUCUUUGUGUAGAAGCAGGAAGGGUUACCUUAACUAUCUUGGAAGGUGUAUGCCAAAGGGUUGAAGGACACUUUGGCUUUGACACAUACCUAGACCCUAUGUCAGAGUUGGUUUCACUCAAGCAGUUAGGGUCUGUUGGUCAAUACGACGAUUGUUUUGCAAGUCUACUAAAAUAGAUCUAUUUACCUAAAGCGUAUGCCUUAAGUGUCUUUAUCAAUAAUUUGAAGCUUGAAAUAGGCUAAAACUUGAGGCUAUUUUAACCUCAAACUCUAGUAGAUGGUUACUUGUUGGCUAGACAAGUAGCACUACAGGAAAACAGACUUAUAGCGGCGUUUUUUUUGCCUUUAGCGGCGUUUUUAAGCGCCACUAAUACUUUUAGCGACGCUUUCCCAAGCGCCGCAAAAAACGUCGCUAUAUACAUCGCCGCAAAAAUUCGUGACGUUUUUUAGAAAAAACGCCGCUAAAGACCAGGACCUUUAGCGGCGCUUUUUUAAAAAAUACCCCUAAAUACCAAGACUUUUCGCGGCGCUUUUAUAAUAACGCCGCUAAAGACCAGGACUUUUGCGGCGCUUUUUUAAAAAAUGCCGCUAAAGACUAAGACCUUUUGCGGCGCUUUUUUAAAAAACGCCGCUAAAGAUCAAGACCUUUAGCGGCGCUUUUUUAAAAAACACCGCUAAAGACGAAGACUUUUUGUGACGCUUUUUAAAAAAACGCCGCUAAAGACCAAGACUUUUUGCGGCGCUUUUAUAAAAAACGCCACUAAAGAUCAGGUCCUUUCGCGGCACUUUUUUAAAAAUCGCCGCUAAGUUGCCCAGUUUUGCUAUAUAUGUUUUUCCACCUAUAUCCAACCCUCCUGCAAGAAACUCAACCAAAAACAACAAAUGUACAAUGAAAUCCAACCAAAACCCGCAAAUUUAAAUAAUACGAAAAAUAUAUUAUAUAAAUUGUAAAUGAAUAUUCAAAAUAUUCUUAAAAUAAUGUUAAAAGUUACAAUAAAACAAAUGUUUAAGAUGGCGGAUUUUGAAAUUGCUGGAACAUAGUCAUCAUAGACUGAAGUUGUAGCUGGAGUUCAUUGUAUUUUCUGUUCUGCUUCGCCUCCCUCGCUGCUACCUCUGCCUCCCUCACUGCUGCCUCCGCUCUAAGUUGAGAAAUUUGCUCAUCUGUGCUAGCUUGUAUCUGAAUUAUACCUCAUGGUUAAGUAAGCAAAAUUUUACAAUCACAUACAAGCAUAUCUAAAUAACCAAAUUUCGCUUGCAACAUAACCAAUUCAUACAUUGCUCACUUGACUAACAUUAAUCAUUUUUCAUGUCAUUUAGCCAAAUCAAAACAUGUCAAUUUCAUAUGCUAUAACUCAUGCUGAAAUUUCAUAUACACAAGUAAAUCAAUUUAUAUAUAUUCGGUCAUUUAAUAUGACUUCAAUAUAACAGUUAAAACAUAUUCAUUCUUGCCAUCGUAAACCAAACAUAAAUAGUCAAAUAUCAUAGCCGAACAUACAAUAACAUAUAUAUAACAAUUUGACCUUUACAUCCCAAAUCACCAAAAUUCAUGACAUAAGUACAUAUGUAUUCAUUUAUCUAUCAUCAACCAAAUAUAACAGCUCAUCACUGCCAUUUCCCAAACUAAUAAAUAAACAAAUUACUGUCAAAAUGUAAUUCAAUAAUAAACCAUACCCAAAACACAUCCAACAACCAUACUUAAUUCACUUGAGCCGAAUUAUAACAACCACAAAUGCAUAUCAUACCAAUUAACAAUCUUACCAAGAUGAGCUAAUUAUAAACCAUACUCAUCAUUACUUCAUACCAAAUCAUAUAUCUAAGUAAAAUGAUUUUUUUCAAAAUCAUCAUGAUGAAACUAUUAUUUAUGCGAAUUUUGAACUAAAACGUACCUUAAUAAUUUCAACAAGCAAACAGAGGCUGGAGUAAAAAAAAUUGUAUUUCUUAAAUAAGUUAAAGCAAAAAUGCAUAGAAAUAAGUUAAGUAAUUUAGCAACAAAACAUGUCCAGCAUAAAUCAAAUACAGCAUGGGAUUAAAAAUGAGUAAAAAGAAAUACCUGCAGGAAAAUAUUCAUCAAGCAUUUAUAAAGCUUUUUAAACCCAAUACUGGAAAGCUAUUAACCUGCAAAUAAAGUAACAUAUGAAAAAUAUAUUGGCUAUAUUUAAAAUUUUAAUAAAAAUCUAAAAUAUUAAAUAUUAAACUAAAAAUAUAUUUCUUUAUAAAUCUGAAUAAGUCUAAAACGAGAUUAAGUUAAUCAUUUAAAAAUAUGAAAUAGAAUUGAAUAAAAUUUUAAACCUAUAAUUUGGAUUGAGUCAAAUUCAGACAAACAUAAAGAAGUUCACCGGUAAUCAAGAGUUCAUCCAAUAUAAAGUAGGCCUUCAAUGUCAAACAGGAACAAAAGUUAAAGCAUUUAUAAGUUAUCUAUAAGAAAAAGGGUAAAAAGUAAUUCACCAAUACCCUAGAAUCUAUAUCAAAAUUACACAUGUACCUCCUAUUUUCAUCAACUGUAUUUUCCCGAUGGAUGCAAUUAUUCGGACACCAAUACUUUUGUUGACAUCAUGAUCAAAAUUCACGAGUUGAUAUAGCACAGAACUUAAAUUCACGAGUUGAUAUAACACAGAACUUAUUUGGAAGACCCAAAAAACCCACACAUAAUUAUCAGUCCACCGCAACAUGAAGGAUAGAUUCCAAAACAUAAAAGUAAUAUAUUUUUACACAAGAAAAUUUUAUAAAAGAACACAUACAUGUAUCCAACCAAAAUAUCAGAACAAAUCAAAAUCUAGAAGCACAAUACAAUAAAGAUAUUAAUCACCAUCAAAUGUUAAAUUAACACAUACUAAAAGUUCAAAACAAAUAAAAUGAAGGUAUAAAAACUUAACAGGAUUAAUCCUAACUAAUAACCAAAAUAACAUUCAAAUAUCAAAUUUUCUCAAAAUCUCUUCUGUUAACCAAACUGAAUUUUUUAUGGUUAACCAACAAAUCGAAUUUGGUCAGUUAAUUCAGCUAAAAAUUAAAGAAUAUUAGCAACAAAUUAUAAAUUGAAUUUCAGGACCAUGUCAAAUUUUCAGCUAUCUUAUAAUUUGAAUAUUAGCAACAUAUCUUACAGCUAUUUGCCCAUUUAGUGAGGGAACUGUCAUUAGCUACCAUAAUCUUAACUUGGUAUCAACAAAUCUAAAUUUGAAUUAAUUUAAUUUGAUUUGUUCAUUAAAAACCAACAGCUUGAAUUUGAAAAUAAAAUGAUGUGAUUCAACUCAUAAACUAUAUAAUUGAAAUUCAAAAUUGAUCGAUUCAUAGAAAAAGUUCAAAACUUUUAAUUUAAUUUGACUUUUUUCAAAACUAGCAUGCCCUGACAAGACUAAUAUUAACACAAGAUUUCAGCAUGGCAUGGUUAGAACUUAGAAGUAGUCUGUAACUUUUAUCUAUAAACAUUCAAUUUUGCAUUUGGAGCACGAAAGUAGCUUUGGCAUAGGUCAAAUCAAGUAGCAAAGGCUGACCAUGGAACUGAAAUUAAUCAACCAUCCCCUGCUGGCUCUGAUUUCUUAUUGGCACUUAGAAAUGAAUAAUGAUGGCAUCCGGAUCAGCCAUAAAUGUUACCAACAAACUAUCCGUAAAUUGAUUUUUAUAUAUUAGAUUAAAAAAUAAAUUGAUAUUUUAAUUAAGAAUUUUGUACAUUUUUACUAUUAAAAACGGGUCCUUAUAUGCUACCGGUAACUGUCUGGUUAUUUCAUCAUCCACGACAGUUUUAAUGGUAGAAAUAAAUGAAAUUUUUAAUAGAAAUUAAUUUAUCUAUUUUUUAAAUAAAAGACACAAAAUAUAAUUCAACUCUUAAUACAGAAAUCUUUAUACUACAUUUGGUCAGUUAAGAUAUGUUGCUAAUAUCUGAGUAAUAUUCAAAAUUUCAUAUUCAAAGACAGAAAUUUCAAGCAUAAGCGAACAAUCAAAAGCAAAAUAGAAAUAAAAGUUGGGAAUACCUUCAGGGAUUGUGAGAAGAGGUUGAGAAGAGCAAUCGCAAAGGCGAGCAAAGACGUGAAUAGCAUCUACAAAAGACGAACUAAACUAUUAGUCGCCUUACUGAGAACUUGUUUAUUGUUUGAUUAUAAUAAAAUAAAAUAAUAUUUAUAUUUGAUUAUUUCAUAUCUAAAUAAUAAGAAAUAUGUUUAUUUAUGGUUUGUCGGUUUACUAUUCAUGAACAGAUUUUUAAUUGUUUGUCGACAUAUUUACUUAUAUUAUGUUCACGAAUAAGUUCAUUUAUUUAAACGAAUGAACACAAACAUACAAAAACCAGUGCAACUUUGGAAUUCUUAACAAACACAAUCAAACUUAAAAAUAAACUAGCAAACAUCAAUAAAAGCUGUUCAUUCAAGCUGAGUUUAUUUACCACCUUCCAUAAGCAUGGUAUAGCCAAUACUACAUAUAAAUAGGACAAAAGGUUAUUUUUCAAAGUUAAUAUUCUUGUUAUUAUAGUAAGCAAAAAGGAAAUGCACAACCAUGACAUAUAUUCUAUACGAAUGAUCUUGACAUAUAAAGGAAGCCCUAGGCAAAUAACAGGACAUAAUCAAUCUGAUUCUCAGGACAUAACCAUUCAAAAGCUUCGGGGAAUACGGUAAAAGUUGAAAUGAUUCCUGCAAUAAAAUGAAUAAUCAACAUUCAGUGCUCGAAUUGAAAUGAAAAUUAUAAGAUGGAUCUCAUUCAAUGCAAAAUUCGUAGUUACAAUUACAAAUUCAACUUUAAAAUACAAGAUAUCUAAGACUAAAAAGGUCCGUUAAUAACUUAAAUGGCAUAAUUAUCGAAACUUAUAACAUAAAAGAGAUCAAACCUUAACUAAAUCAAACAAACUAAUCGAAGGAACAAGCAAUUAAAAACGCCAUUGAAUUUAAUAAGAACUGCAAAUCAAUUACUGAAACUAAAGCACCAAAGAUAAAAAAAAAAUUAAAAAUAAAGAGAAAUCCAUAAUAAUUUUAUAUACGUACACCAAAAUUGAAGACGAAGAUAAACAAUAAAUUAAAUAAUUUAUAUUAGAAUAAAAAGAAUUAAGAUUUGAAUAUAGAUUUAAAAAUUUAUUUUUCAAAAGGAAAUAAAAUAAAAAAAGGGAAGAGCGUACGGAUUUGCGGUGUAGAGAACCAGCGAGGGCGAAAUCCCAAACAGCCACUCACCAAAUCCUCAUCAUCUUUCUUCUUUUGGUCCUCAGCCGUACAGAUCUUGGGAGGAUCCAAAGCAGCUGCAGGACGGCUUCAGCAUAUGAGAUCGAAAGACAUGAUUCCUUCCCCCCCCCCCGAUAGAAGCAAAAGGAAGAGGCUAGGGUUUUAAUUGAACGUUGAAAAGGAAAUUGGAACAGUCAAAUUGCACAUCGCGUCUCUUCCAUCAAGAGAGAAAAUUUAUGAGAAGGGGAUUUUGAUCGGUGAAAACAAAGGGAAUAGAAUCAGGGUUUUUAGCAGCGCAAAAUUGGGGAUUUAGGGGAGGGGGUGAAAAUAAAACGAGCGUUUAUAUGGAAAGUGUAUCUCAAUUUUUUGCGGCGUUUUUUUC